rnacentral:lncRNA from 1 species
AUGCCCCGGAGGAAACUUCUGAUGAUAAAUAACUUGAGGGUGGGACGUCACGCCAUCCCUGUCUCCACGCGGUCCCUACGCAGCCUCCACGGUGCUGCGGCGUCUUGGCCGUCCCCGGCCUUCCCUUCUCCUACAGGGCGGGUUCCAGCCUGCGCUCACCCGGCCCUCCCCGCCCCGCCGCCCGGCACCGCCCGCCGGUCCUCCUCCCGCGCCGACGCGGCGGAGCGCACCGGCCGCGGGGUCAGGUGGUUGGGUGACGCCCCGGGAAAGCGCUCCCCACCGCGCGCGGGCGGCGCCAAAGCGCCCGACGCCUCCGGGGGAGGGGACUUCCCGGGAGCAGCGCGCGGAGGACGGGAGGAGCGCGGCGCGGCGGGCGGGCGGGCCGAGCGGGGACGGGCUGCCGGCGGGAGGGAGACAUGGACCGCAGCGAGCAAGGUAGAAGAAGAAAUCCAGACUCUGUCUCAAGUGUUAGCAGCAAAAGAGAAGCACCUAGCGGAGAUCAAGCGGAAACUUGGGAUCAAUUCACUACAGGAACUAAAACAGAACAUUGCCAAAGGGUGGCAAGAUGUGACAGCUACAUCUGCGUAUAAGAAGACCUCUGAAACCUUAUCUCAGGCCGGACAGAAGGCUUCAGCUGCUUUUUCGUCUGUUGGCUCUGUCAUCACCAAAAAGCUGGAAGAUGUAAAAAACUCCCCAACUUUCAAAUCAUUUGAAGAAAAGGUCGAAAACUUAAAGUCUAAAGUCGGGGGAAACAAGCCUGCUGGUGGUGAUUUCGGAGAAGUCUUGAAUUCAACUGCAAGCGCUAGUGCCACCACCACGGAGCCUCUUCCAGAGCAGACACAGGAGAGCCUGUGAGCCCCCCACCUUUGUUCUGCUACUCACUGCCAGAUGCUGCAAGCGAGAUCCAAGCACAUCUUGUCAACAUUCAUUGCCAUGAACUUCCACCAGAUGUGCUUUUGUUGAGCUUUACAUAUUCCUUUGACCAA